CCUACGGGAGGCAGCAGUGGGGAAUAUUGGACAAUGGGCGAAAGCCUGAUCCAGCCAUGCCGCGUGUGUGAAGAAGGCCUUUUGGUUGUAAAGCACUUUAAGCGAGGAGGAGGCUACUGAGAUUAAUACUCUUGGAUAGUGGACGUUACUCGCAGAAUAAGCACCGGCUAACUCUGUGCCAGCAGCCGCGGUAAU
rnacentral:rRNA from 1 species